CGUGCGGCGGGGUGUGGUGUGUGGUAUGUGGUGUGCGUGUGGGUGGUGCACUCAAGAGGUGGAGGGGCUGGUGUGUGAUGAAGAAAGUGUGUCGUGGAAGCGUGUGGUGGUGGUGGUGGUGUCUGUGAGUGUGUUGGUAUCCCAUACUGCUACUUCUGCCGUGCCUGAGUAAGCAUUUUUUGUGGUGGUGCCUCGGCGUGAACUAAAAACGCUUUAAAACAUAAAACAAGACAAAGAUAUUAAUAAGAAACGAAAGAAAACAGAAGUGAAUAAGAUAUUACAGUAAAAUUUUAGACAAAUAGAAGAAGAAAAAAAGGAAGAAGAAAAAUGAAGCAGUUUAACAUUAUCUUGUAGCAAAAAGGAGGAACAGAAAGGAGAAAGUAAGAAUAACAAAGAAACUAAAACAGGAAUAUUAAAUGACGAACGAGAAUUGGUAAAGGAAAAGUUACAGUGAAAGUGAUAAGAUUGAGAGAUAAAGAUAGAGAAAAAGUGAGAGAGAAAGAAAGAAAGAAAGACUGACGCAGAAAGAGAGAGAAGGAGAAAGAAAGAAAGGUGCUGUUAUCAAUCAAAUAACAGCAACAGCAUUACAAACCAUGAGCCACUGCAAUGAAAGAAAGGAGAGAGAGAAAAUGGAAGAAAACUAUGAAUGAUUAAUAAAAAUGUAAGAAAGAAGAGAAAAGGGAAAAGGAAAGAGAGAGAUAACCUGUGAUAUUUGUAGAGAGAGAGACGAAAGAGAGACCGGAAGAAAGAAAAAGGAGUAAAAAGAAAGAGAAAAAAGGAAGAAGUGAUUAAAGAAAGAAAGGAAGGACGAAAAGGAAUAAGUGGAAAUUUAACAGUGAUAUUUAGCAUCGUGACAGCGAGUGAGAGUGAGGGAAAGAGAUAAAGAGUGAUAAAAAGAGGAGGAGGAGGAGGACUUACACACAGACAGACGGACAAGAGAACGAGCAUCCCUGGCAUCAAAAUAACCUACACACUGCAAACAUGAGGUGAUCAAGAUGCCCGCCUUGCCGGGAGCCUCGUCUCCAAUCGUAGGAUGAACGAGGACGUAUCUUUCCGCCUUACCUUCUUAUGAAAGCCGCCAUCCUUAAGCCUGGUUGCUUAAGGCUAUAGAUAUGACCGCGAUGAUGGUGGGAGGGAAUGCGUUUGGUGGGGUUGGGGGGAGUAUUGGCCGGGGGGGCUCUCUCUCCUCCCCCACCGCCUCUGCAUCCCACCGUCUCCCCUCCCCGCGCUCCCCGCCCUCCCCUGUCUCCAGCGAGUCUCCAACCUCCCCCACAAGUCCAGGGAGGGCCAAGGCAUGUGGUGUGUGUGGGGACAUUGCCAAGUCCAUGCACUUUGGUGGACUCUCCUGUGACUCCUGUAAGGCCUUCUUCCGGCGCUCAGUUCAAAACAAUGCCCACAGAGGGUUCACUUGCCCCUACGAAAAGAAAUGUGUCAUUGCCGUCUCCUCCAGGAAGUCUUGCCAGUACUGUAGGUUCCAGAAAUGCUUAUCCAUCGGCAUGGAGAAGGGGUGGGUGAUGACGGAGGAUGAGCGGCGCAAGAUGAUGCAACAGCGGCAGGAAAAGAAACACAAGGAGGAGGAGAAGAAAAAGAUGACCCUGAUCAGCUCGGAGGAGAAGUAUGCACUGACAGAAGAAGAGAGCACAGAGAUUGAGAUAAUCUUGUCCCUGUACAAGAAAGCUUACCAGGAUGUGCCCUACCAGGAGGAGAACCCUUGUGAAGGCCCAAAAGCAGUCAUGUCCCCUUGGAUGACCUUCUGUAAGAGGAUAGGAUACUUCUUCUCACUGUUCCGGGAGUUUGCAGACCUGCCGAGCAGUGACCAGGCACUGCUGCUCAAGUCUGCCAUCCCCUCGGCCUGCAUCAUCAUGGGGUCUGUGGUGUACGACACCAGCUCAGGCCGCUGGGGCAACAACCUGAACCGCUGCGGCUACGUGCCCACUGUGUCUCUCACCAGUGCACAGAGCCUGGUGCCUGCUGAGCUCAUGUCCCGGGUGGAAAACUUCUUUAAGAAGUUCAAGGAGGUGUGUCCAGAUGAAAAGAUGGCCAUGAUCCUAAUCCUGGUGGCCCUGUAUUCCCCUGAGCUGAUGGGGCUGCAAGCGAAGGACAACAUCCAGGCACUGCAGGACCGCUACACACGAGUGUUACGCAAGUAUGUCGGGUGGAAAUACAAGGAGCACUCCACUCUCAUGUUCCCCAAGGUGAUCGUGUCCCUGGCAGACAUCAGGGAGCUGGCGGAGCGCACCUGUCAGAUGCGCAUCAAGCAGAGCAUGACCUCCAACAUCACCGCUAUGUCUGGUAUCGUCGUCCGGCCCGGCUCUUCCUCCGCCACUGCCACUACCAGCACUGAUGUGGAGUCCCCCAUGGAGACCAACGAGGGUGAGGAGGACGAGGACGUGGAGGGGGCGACACCCAUGUCCGAAGGGGGACUGGGGCCGGGGUGUGUGGGUGUGAGUGGCAUGGUGCAGGUGAAGCAGGAAUGUGACAUGCAGAGUGACAGUGCCCUGCAGACAGAGGCGGCACACAAGCGGGCACGUCUGGAGGCCACAGGGGGCGUGAAGGAUCACACCUACCAGAAGAUCGUGCAGAAGAUCAUGGACCAGAUGCACGGCUCCUCCAUCCACAUGCGCGCCCCGUCCCUGCUGCCCUUCAUCAUCCAGAUUGUGAAGAAGGUGGGCUCUGGCACUGGGGCCAGCACCUCCUCCCAGGCCAGCAGCAGCCACAAGCCAAGCCGGGGGCACCACUCCAAGCACCACCACCGCACCUCCUCCAAACGCCGUGUGGUGGAGGUGAAGCAGGAGCAUCUGGAGGAGGAUCUGGACACUCAGGAUAUCUCCCCGCUCUCCAGCAACACCGUGUCCCCAGCCAUGCAUCCUAGUCCACCUCCCCCCUUACACUUCCCUCCCCAGAUGCAGGUAGACCCCCAGCCCCACCACCAUCACCACCAUCAUCACCAACACCAGCAGCAACAACAGCAACAACAACAGCAACAACAACAACAACAAACAGCAACAGCAACAACAACAGCAACAGCAGCAGCAGCAGCAGCAGCAUCAGCAUCAACAGCAGCAGCAUCACCAUCACCUACCUCGCAGUCCCUCACUGCCACCAUCACAUCACUUCACCAACUCACCCUCACAUGCCUCCAUCUAUCCCGCCUCCCCGAUGGAGUCCACAGAUUCCUGUGACCUCCUGCCCACCUCACCUCCCCAUGACCCCAUCAUGCCCUCCCCAAUGCACCCCACAUCCCCAGAAAUGAUGCUGCCACUAUCAGGCAGCCACAUGAUCCCUGUGGCGCCCUAUACGCCACCCUCGGCCACCCCGUCGCCCAGUAUCCCACACAAGCAACCCACAGUGCUGCCUACAACAGACAUGCCCCUCCCCUCCCCCGUGGCUGCCCCCUCCCCCUACUCAGACUCGUCCAACUCGUCCCCGGAGAGUUCCCAGUCUCCAAUGUACGACCUGUUCUCUGAGGACCUCUCCAAUGUGGAGAUUGAUGUGCUAACGCAGCUGCUUGAUUACGUGUCCAACUUUGACAACUUGGACAAUGUGAGUUCCCUGAAGGAGAUCCUGCCACCACACCUGCUGAGUGAGCUGCAGACCAAACUGUGCUCCUACUCCUUGAAACAAGAGUGACCCUCACUGGUGGGGCGAGUGUCUUGAGGUGAUGAAAACAGAAUUACAGGUGUUCCAAGCCAUCCAUACACUUUAGCAGUGUGUUAGGUAUUACGUGCGGUGCCGGAGUGUCCCGUGGCGCCAACGCCGCGCUCUGGCCCUAGGGGUGGGGCACCACACCCCAUAUUGGGGCUGUGGCACAUCCUAGACUGACCCCAGUGACAAAAUAAUCAAGCCUGUAAGUUCUCUUCUGAAAAAAACAAAAAAAACAAACAUGAAUGACCAACUUUGUAUUGGAAAAUAGUCUUCUUUGAAAGUAAUCUUGAAGCCUCAACCUGUACAAGCUUUGUUGCCACUCACCCAUCCAUAAUGAAUCAAUAUUUUGUGAUAAAAACAGACACCAGCACGCCAGGUGACCAACACGAGUCAAUAAUCAAAAGUAUCCUUGGGGAGCGUCCUGCAUGCUGCCACAUCCCGGCGUGGGAUGGUACUGCAGCAGCGGGAACUUUGCAGCUCAUAGACAUGGCAGAUGGAGCCUGAAUGCAGUUCUGUAGUACCACUUACAUUUUCCAGUCCAAUUACAGUGGUUAGGAUUGUUGGGAGGGGGAGGAAGGAGGCAGCACAAGUAGUAAUGGUGGUGAGGAGAGCACUGCCAUGCACUGGUGUGGCUGCCUUGUGUGUGUACAUGUGUGUGCUGCGCCCAGCACAGAACUGACCAACCUUGCACUGAACCUUGACCACACCUACGUCAUCCCUCGCUGAGCCACUGACUCAGUAACCAACGGACUGUUCUCCCAUCAUGUGCUGCCGUUGCGUCACAAAGAGAUAGAGGAAAUGGCAAGGAAGCAAAGGAAGAGAGGUGGAUGGAGGAAAGAAAGGAAGACCAGUAGAGAACACCAGUGCAGCCUCUAAUCUGAUCCUCUGAGUCAUCACCGGACAUGACUGUUCGAGCCAUUAAAAAAAUCACUCAGUUGACCGUCGUUCCAAUCAUAGCUCUGUUCCUUUCUUCCUCAUGACCUCAUCCGUCGGACACACUUGCCUCGCCAUGCCCUGCUCCCCUCUUGUGUCCCCGGCGCCCCACCACACCUCCUGGGGCAGACUGGGGGAUUGGUGUGUGUUCCUAAGUGUCACAAGGUCCUGGAGGUUGUCUAGAGCUUAUUAAAGAGUAGCAGUGUGAUGAAGGAAGGAGUAUGUUAAAGUUAGGUGAUGGAGUCCUGUUGUUUUGUGUUUGCAUUUGCUGUUUAUGCAACCCAACCCUACCUAACCUAAUUCUCUCCAGAUAAUGUACAGUUGCCUUGAGUAGUGGUGUCACAUUGUAUGAAUUGUGAAUUGUAUCAGGGGCAAAAAUAUUGGUUUCAGGAUAUCUGCUUGCACCUGUCAUCGCCAGUUCUUGUUCUCUGUGGAGCUCUUCAUUUAGACUGGUUCUUUAAUCCAUUUAUUGACAUCUGGAGCUCUUGAUGUAAAGCAGUUCAUUGGUCCUUGCUAGUUUUCAUUGACUUGUACACAUGAAAUUUGCCAGACCACGACAUCGCUGCUUGGGAAAACUGCACACCCAGACCUCUGUACUUCUUUUAACUUCCUGAAUGUGUCUGUUGCAUGUAUACGAAUGACAAAUAUGUACGCACCUCUGGAAAAUGUGUGUAAGAGAAAGAACAAGAGACCAACAGAGAGAGAGAGAGAGAGAGGGAACAGAUAUAAGAUUAACAUAGCAUAACUUGAAGGUUUGACCAUCUGUGAAUGAGAUGUACAAGUAAGAGGAAAAACACAGCACUCAUCUCCGGCAUUUAGUCAGUGAUGUAUAAAAUGCUGCAUCUCCUUUAUUACUGCCGUGAGACGAGAGCAAUGCUAUUCUGAGUAUCUUUGUGUGGUGGGUAAUGUGUGAGUAUUAAGCUACCAAAUGAGAUGCCAAUAAUGACGAUAGCAUUCCCAGCAUUCACAGAGCCUAUGGCAGUGCAUCAGAUGGCUGUUAUGCUCUCAAAACUUGUAUGUAGAGGGUGGAAUUCUCAUUUGUAGCUCCCCGAGUGUCGUUACGUUGGUGUGUUGGUGUGUGAAGAUUCGUGUAGCACAGCUUGUGUUGAAGCUUUGAAGUGUGUGUGUGUGUGAGUGUGAGUGUGAGUGUGAGUGAGUGAACACCACUGCCACAGGCUGUUGUCAAUUUAUAUGUUACUAAGUUCUUGGAAAUUUAUUUGAAUGAGUUCAAAACUGAUUGUAUAGAGUUAUUGGUAUUUGUAGAAGUUAUUAUUAUGACUAAUGAUGAGACAGAUUAUGAAAAAAAUUUAUUAGAAUUUCUGUAUGUAAGAAUUUUAAUAUUUUGACUUCUAAGGUCACUAAAUUUAUUUGGUUAUGAUGUCAACAUCAGAUGUAGAAUGUGAAUUGAUGGUGAUGGUGAUGUAGCAGUGUGAUGAGGUGGUGAGGCUGUUACUCAACCACACCUGUGAGCGUUGUGUUUGUUGUUCGCCUGCCACGAAGCAGUGAGUGGCCGUCACCACCUUCCAGUGUGUGGGUAUGAAGUGUCUGUCUGCCUGUCAGGGGUGAAGUGUUGGGUGUAUCGGUGGUGUGUGUGUGUGUUGCGGCUGCCUCAGUCAUGGUGUGCUGCUCCAAGUGCAGCGGCAGCAGCAGGAAGUCACACAAGCAAGCCUGUCCUUGGUGUCACCUGUAGGAGGGCUGUCAGAUUCUCGGUGCAGGAACUUAAUGCUUUGUGAUAUUGACAACAUUCACAAGAGAUUUACUAAUUCAGGAACCCCAAGGGUUGGUAAAAUAAUGUAGUUUACAGUAUACUCCCAUGUAAUUAUAUACUCAUGUAUGUAUAUCAAUAUUUAUUUGAUCCUUGUAGUGAAAUGUGUGUUUGAUUCGUGAAGCACUGUGAGUGCUUCAAGAUAAAUCUGGAAUUGUGUUUUUAGUGUUGAAGUGUUAUCAUGGAACACACAUGUCACUGCAGGAGUAAAAUGUGCACUUCAGGGAUGAGUGGCAGGGUGGAGGUGAGGGUCGGCCACCCGGCCGCCACCCCAUCCUGUUGCUGGCAUUUAUACAGUUUACUUAAAACUUGAUUCAGCUGAAAAAGCAUUCACAGCAUAAUGAAUUCUGUACUUUGAAACUUGUGAAUACCACCUGGUGGUUUGCUGUGUGUACGGAGCAUUACUUUGUUAUUGUAAAGGCAUGGCUCUACACAGAGAUGGGAGUCAGGAAGCAACUGACGCUAAAUGAUGAGCUGCAUUGCACCGUUCUGUAUUGUGAGGUAGACAAGAACACUUUGAAGCAAGUUUGGUGUGUAGGAGCAUUGGCAGAGUGUAGGGUAGUCAGGCAUCCUUGUCAGAUGUUGUAGUCAUCUGGAGUAACAAUGUUCACCUUAAUGUAAGUAUUGUAUGCUUUGGGACUCCGAGAUGAUGUUCUUAUGAGCAGCACUUGUUUGUGGCAUCUAGGAGUGGUGUGUGGGUGUGUGAGGGAGAGCAGCACCCACUCAAUCAUAAAACACAGGCUUUACUCAUUGAUUAUUUCAAGAACUCUGCUUGGCUUGUAUCAAAACACUGUAGUUCUGGUUAUUCAGAUGUCACUACCAAGCCAUUCCUGUUGUUGUCACAUCAGCUGUUCUGUAGCAAUGAUAUUCUUGCCAUUGUAGUAAGAAUCGUAUGAUGUGUGUGUGUGUGAAGGAUUUUCCAGGAUUGUGCUGAGUUGUGGUGGCUGGCUUGUCUGAAGGCUCUGAAGUGGAAGUGGAGCAUUCCUUACCUCUUGUGAUGGAUGUUGUGGUUAGGACGGACACACACACACACACACACACACACACACACACACACACACACACACACACACACACACACACACACACACACACACACACACACACACAC
rnacentral:misc_RNA from 1 species